rnacentral:rRNA from 1 species
GAUGAACGCUGGCGGCGUGCCUAAUACAUGCAAGUCGAGCGAACGGACGAGAAGCUUGCUUCUCUGAUGUUAGCGGCGGACGGGUGAGUAACACGUGGAUAACCUACCUAUAAGACUGGGAUAACUUCGGGAAACCGGAGCUAAUACCGGAUAAUAUUUUGAACCGCAUGGUUCAAAAGUAAAAGACGGUCUUGCUGUCACUUAUAGAUGGAUCCGCGCUGCAUUAGCUAGUCGGUAAGGUAACGGCUUACCAAGGCAACGAUGCAUAGCCGACCUGAGAGGGUGAUCGGCCACACUGGAACUGAGACACGGUCCAGACUCCUACGGGAGGCAGCAGUAGGGAAUCUUCCGCAAUGGGCGAAAGCCUGACGGAGCAACGCCGCGUGAGUGAUGAAGGUCUUCGGAUCGUAAAACUCUGUUAUUAGGGAAGAACAUAUGUGUAAGUAACUGUGCACAUCUUGACGGUACCUAAUCAGAAAGCCACGGCUAACUACGUG